AUAAAGCCAUCUCAUUGCGCUCCGUAGAAAACAACCAUGGCGACAGAUCGUCCACUGAACAACUACUCCGCAGGACAGACGAACAAGGAUAAUCAUGAAAGCUGUGCUGUGCUUGCUGAUUGUUUGCCUUAUACUGGCCACUGCCGUGGCAAUUAAGUUUGGCAAAGGCUUCGGACAUGGUGGUGGAGGAUUUGGUCAUGGAGGAGGAUUCGGACAUGGAGGAUACGGUCACGGAGGUUUUGGCCACGGAGGCAAGUUUGGAAAGUUCCACGGAUAGUCACCAACAACGAAGCACUUUACAGAAACCCUUCAGACCAGCGCCAACCAGAGUCUCAGAAAGAUUAGCGAACGAACAAAAGUACAAGGUUGUGAAAUCAUGAGACAAUAAAAAUGUCUUCUGUAACUGC